rnacentral:RNase_P_RNA from 1 species
GAAGCUGACCAGACAGUCGCCGCUUCGUCGUCGUCCCUUUCGGGGGAGACGGGCGGAGGGGAGGAAAGUCCGGGCUCCAUAGGGCAGGGUGCCAGGUAACGCCUGGGGGGGAAACCCACGACCAGUGCAACAGAGAGCAAACCGCCGAUGGCCCACGCAAGUGGGAUCAGGUAAGGGUGAAAGGGUGCGGUAAGAGCGCACCGCGCGGCUGGUAACAGUCCGUGGCACGGUAAACUCCACCCGGAGCAAGGCCAAAUAGGGGUUCA